rnacentral:rRNA from 1 species
CCUACGGGGGGCAGCAGUAGGGAAUUUUUCACAAUGGGCGAAAGCCUGAUGGAGCCAUGCCGCGUGAAUGAUGAAGGUCUUAUAGAUUGUAAAAUUCUUUUAUUUGGGACGAAAAACUAAAGUAGGAAAUGACUUUAGUCUGAAUGUACCAUUUGAAUAAGUCUCGGCUACCUAUGUGCCAGCAGCCGCGGUAAUACAUAGGAUGCAAGCUUUGUCCGGAUUUACUGGGCGUAACACGAGCGCAGGCGGGUUAACAAGUUUGUUAUGAAAGGCUUUUGCUUAACGAAAGUUUGGAGCAAAAACUGUUAAUCUAGAGUGUAGUAUAGAGUUCUGGAAUUCCAUGUGGAGCGGUGGAAUGCGUAGAUAUAUGGAAGAACACCAGUGGCGAAGGCGAGAACUUAGGCUAUCACUGACGCUUAGGCUCGAAAGUGUGGGGAGCAAAUAGGAUUAGAUACCCGAGUAGUC